AACGAACGCUGGCGGCAGGCUUAACACAUGCAAGUCGAGCGCCCCGCAAGGGGAGCGGCAGACGGGUGAGUAACGCGUGGGAACGUACCCUUUGCUACGGAAUAGCUCCGGGAAACUGGAAUUAAUACCGUAUGUGCCCUACGGGGGAAAGAUUUAUCGGCAAAGGAUCGGCCCGCGUUGGAUUAGCUAGUUGGUGGGGUAAUGGCCUACCAAGGAGACGAUCCAUAGCUGGUCUGAGAGGAUGAUCAGCCACAUUGGGACUGAGACACGGCCCAAACUCCUACGGGAGGCAGCAGUGGGUAAUAUUGGACAAUGGGCGCAAGCCUGAUCCAGCCAUGCCGCGUGAGUGAUGAAGGCCUUAGGGUUGUAAAGCUCUUUCACCGGAGAAGAUAAUGACGGUAUCCGGAGAAGAAGCCCCGGCUAACUUCGUGCCAGCCGCCGCCGUAAAAC
rnacentral:rRNA from 1 species